CUUCCCCCCGCGCUUUAUCUCCUCCUUCUGCCAGAGAAGUGGAGCAACUCCACCUCGCGUGCUAAAAAAAAAGAAAUAAAAAAAUAAAAUAAACCCACAAACCCGAGCUCUGCAGGCGCCGCACGGCAGGAGCAAAGCCCUUGAGAUGGUUAAAAACACCCCGCUAAAUAAUUCAAGUGACCUGAAAUGCCUUUCUCUGGGGAAGAGAAGGGGAGGGCUGUGUUGGAGCCGCCAGGCUGGAAGCCUGGAGAGAGUGCUUGGAUGCCGCUAUUAAGCAUGCAAUCGUGAUGGCUAAAAGCCACGGGCUUUAUAUGUAUAUAAAUAAAAAAUAUAUCUUUUUUUAAUUACAGCUUUGGCAAUUCCCAGCCAGUAAAUAGCAGCUCGGAGCAUAGGCCCGCAGCUGCAGAGCCAGCAGCCAUGACCCGGUGAGACCACGGCGCUGGGUGCGGGCAGCCCGGCAGGGACCUCUAGGGAAGGGAAGUCCAGAGGAAAAAGGAUAUCAAAGUCCAGCUGUCCAGUGUCAUCACAUUCAGAUUCUGCCAUGACCUAAAUAAAAAGACUGCAGGUGGCUGCUCUCUCUCCAUCACCUCUUGACUUUUGGACUGUGCUGCUGCAGAUGAUUUUCAGACACUCCUAUGCUGGGACAUCAGACAAUGGAAAGCUGCCCAGAUACAACUUGUGUCCUACUGGGAGGAGAAGAAAUGUCCAUCUUCAUGUUCAGCUUCUCUGUGCAUCUAUUUCAUUCUGGCCAACAGAAAUGGAAAAGAAAUAAACAAAAGAAGUACACUUUCAGUAAAAACUCCUACUUAACUUGUUGGAACAAAGGGCUUUGAGCAUAUUAGUAAUAAGCAAUAAGUGGCUGAUUGAUUGUCAGAAAAAACAUUUACAAUUGUGGAAACACAUUACUGUGAAUUAGGCAGAUUUUUAGCUGACCUAUGUAAAAAUGCAUGGUUUAUGCAUUAGGUUUUAUUUUCUUUUUGUACUGCUAGAGAAGAGGGACUGAGAAAAAUGGUUUGCAUUGCCUUUUUAAAAUGAUUCUCAUCAAUUUUGUGUGCUUUUAUCAUGCUUAAUUGUAGGGAUAAUUUUGAGUUUUUAGGAAAAAUUCUCAUAUUAGACUAAUCCAGUCUAGACAUUGAUUUCAGUGGGCAUUGGAACUUUCUUAAAUAGUUUCCAGAAAGGUUUCUUUCAUCACUGGUAAACUUGGAGAGCAGACAAAUGAAAUGGAUGAAAAAUAUGUAUUUAGAGCAUGGCAUGUAAGAAAGGGAUCUCAGUGCAACAGUCUGUCACCAAGAUAUUUGCUUUUGAAGUAGUUAUUUUUUUAGAAAAUACUUAACUUGCUGUAAAAUGUAUUAUUAGUGAAAAGCUUCAAAGCCAAACAUUCUUCCCUCCCAGUUUUGGUUAUUUGAUAAAGACAGGAUUCUUAACAUAAUAAUAUGGUUGAACUGAUUAUGUAAAAUAGCUUUUUAGCAAUUAAUAUUUGAGUGAAUGCCUUCUCUAAAAUGAAACCAUUAUGGAUCUUUGUUGCACUCUCAGAUUUCCUAAAAAGACUGUUUAACUAAGCUUCUUCUGUGUGAACAAAACAAUAAAAAACAAGUGUGAAACACUUAUCAUUUUAGGAUGCUUCUGCUGUGCAUUAUCAGUCUCUUUGCUGGUACUGGGGCAGAUUUCUCUGUAAUUCCCAAUCUUUUUUUUAAAUAUUUUAAUGUAACCAGUGCAUUUUCACUGUGAUCAUAAGGUUUCAUUAUUAUUUUAAGGAGUUAAAAGAGAGAGUGGUACUUUCACAUGGAUUUGCAACAAACUUUGAUGAGUUCCAGAAAAGUGACUGUUACACAAAUGUAUGAGGAAUGAAAAGAACUUGUUAUCUUUAACAAGAGCUUGAUUGGAUAAAAUAAAAGUUCCUUGUUAAUUUACUGAAGUUAGCAGUUAUGCUGGUAAUGAAUAUAUAAUCAACAACAUUUGAUCUUCUGCGGAAGCUUUUGCCCCUUUCUCCCCCUCAAAAUGUUUCUGGAGAGACUCCAGAUAAUUUCCUUUAAUAAGGAUUAAAACUUUAAAGGAGUGUUGCUUUAUAGUGACCCUUUUUGGCAGUUUAUCAGAACACUUAUGCAGCUGGUAAAUGUAACUACAGAAUUCUGAGCAGGGAUGACUUUUCCUUAAAGAAAUCUCUCCUUUCCCCUCCCUGCCAUGGGCAGCACAUUGUUUACAGCAACACUGACAAAAUAAAGAAUCACAAAAUUGAGUUACGUGGACAGGAAGGCUUUGAUUCUAUGGGAAUAGCUCCAAAAAUGUCUUGUGUAAUGCAUAUUAAAUGAAGUCAUUAUCCUAGAACUUUGAAAUAAGUCUAUCCAAAUAGACAUGACCUGUUUUUUUAAAAUAAUUAUGUUCCAUUUAGAGUUCUGAGAAAUUGUCUGUGUUUUUAACAUGAAUUAGGACUGACAUUCACAUGGAUCUCACACAAAGGCUAUUGAAGUGUUGUGCUGCAUUUGUAGAGAAGUUUUCCUGUUGACUCAUAUUGAUUUUACAGUGCUUGUUACAAACUGGUAUUGUUGGAAUCAGUGUUUUACUGGGGAAGUGGAUGUAUGUCUGUUGUUGUUUUGUUAUUUUUUAGAAGUCUCUCAAUCACCUCUGUAUUUCUUUAAGUUCCAACCCCUGCCAGGUACUAUCCUGUCUAUGGGAGUGAACACCAAUAGAGCCACAGAUGGACAGAGUAGACAGACAGCCCAUAUAAUCCAUCCUAUGCUGCUUUUAUAAGUCUAUAAAAAUGCAAUAAAGAAAAGAGUCUCAUUAGGUAGAGGCAGGGGGCUGAUGGAUUUGCAGGCCACACUCAGUUUAUAGCUGCCUUCUGUGUGAAAGUCCACCCUAGAGUGUGAGUUUACUCUGUUUGCCAUGGCUUGUUUAGUUAGACUUAAUUUACUUCUGGUAAUGUUAAGCAUUAUUGAUGUUUUUGUGGUGAUUUUCACCCUAAUUUGGCACCUAAGAAUGGACCCACUCUCGUUUUACUCAGUAGAAAUAAAACCCCUUAAGCCAGAGGUCAGGAGAGAAGCUGAGUGAAAAGCUCCUAACCAAGUGUGAGUUGUUUGGAAGGCAGGAUCUGUUUAGUUGAAAGGAAAACUUAAUGUCAAAGUUCUCAUUUCAACUCCUGUGUGUUUUUCUGCAUUGCAGCAAACACCACCUCCAAAUACUGAAAGAGGCUAAAAGAAAAAGAUUUUGUACAUAAUCUCAAAGCAAGUCAUUUUUUCUUUUGUUGUGGGAGUCUUUCCAGAGGAGAGUUUUUACCAUAAAAAAGUAAGAGCACGUGAUUUUUAAGUUCAAGUUCAUUUUAAAUCUCUCUGUGGGGCUGGAAGUGCUGGCUGCAGCAGUGCUGAAGUUUUUUCACUCCAGUCCUGUUUUUCUCAGCACUGCCAAAGGCUGCUGCAGGUGGAUUCAGGGAGAGAUGUGAAUCUCACACCCAUUAUCAGUGUAUUUUUUGGGAAUCCCAGCUAAAUAAAUGAUGACAAAUUCCUAAAUGUGAACUGUUGAUCCAAUCUUAUGAAACUGCUGAUAUUUUUAAUUUGUUAAUAUUUUUAUUCACUUACUUAAUAUUUCAGUAAAUAUUCAGUAAAUCAAAUUAACCUUUUUUCAACUAUGUCCUGUGCCUGUAAGUUCUGGAAAUUGCUGUUCUGCAUUAAUCAUUUUCCUUUUAUAAUUUUAUAAGUUGCUAUCUCUAAAUUUUGUUAUUGAGUCAUAGAAUGGGUUGGAUUGGAAGGGACCUUAAUGUGUCUGUCAUUUGGAUAGCUGGAAGUUCUCACCAUUUACAUUCAGAUUUUAAUGUUUUUCUUUCUAAUGACUGUUUAUAGCUUGUCUUUAACCUUAAGAGGUUCAAAUCAGAAAAUGAGCAAACUUUCAAAUAGGUCACUGUUCUUACAAUAAUGAUUUGCUAAAUUGUAUCAUCAUACCAAAACAGAUCUGAGUCUUGAGUUCAGUCAGACAAUUCCAGUUACCAUUAUAAAA